rnacentral:rRNA from 1 species
UACGAAGGGGGCGAGCGUUGUUCGGAUUUACUGGGCGUAAAGGGCGCGCAGGCGGCAGAUCAAGUCAGACGUGAAAGCCCCGGGCUUAACCUGGGAACUGCGUUUGGGACUGGUUUGCUAGAGAUCGGGAGAGGAGAGUGGAAUUCCCAGUGUAGAGGUGAAAUUCGUAGAUAUUGGGAAGAACACCGGUGGCGAAGGCGGCUCUCUGGACCGAUACUGACGCUGAGGCGCGAAAGCGUGGGGAGCAAACUGG